AUACGGAGGGUGCAAGCGUUAAUCGGAAUUACUGGGCGUAAAGCGUACGUAGGCGGUUCGUUAAGUUAGAUGUGAAAGCCCCGGGCUUAACCUGGGAACUGCAUUUAAAACUGGCGGACUAGAGUUGAGUAGAGGGGAGUGGAAUUUCAGGUGUAGCGGUGAAGUGCGUAGAGAUCUGAAGGAACACCAGUGGCGAAGGCGACUCCCUGGACUCGAACUGACGCUGAGGUACGAAAGCGUGGGUAGCAAACGGGAUUAGAAACCCCAGUAGUCC
rnacentral:rRNA from 1 species